rnacentral:rRNA from 1 species
CCUACGGGAGGCAGCAGUGGGGAAUAUUGGACAAUGGGCGCAAGCCUGAUCCAGCAAUGCCGCGUGUGUGAAGAAGGCCUGUGGGUUGUAAAGCACUUUCGGUUGGGAAGAAGCUUUGUUGGUUAACACCCAAUUAAGUUGACACUACCUUCAGAAGAAGCACCGGCUAACUCCGUGCCAGCAGCCGCGGUAAUACGGAGGGUGCGAGCGUUAAUCGGAAUUACUGGGCGUAAAGCGCGCGUAGGCGGUUGUGUAAGUCGGAUGUGAAAGCCCUGGGCUUAACCUAGGAACUGCAUUCGAUACUGCAUAGCUAGAGUAUGGUAGAGGAAAGCGGAAUUCCCGGUGUAGCGGUGAAAUGCGUAGAUAUCGGGAGGAACAUCAGUGGCGAAGGCGGCUUUCUGGACCAAUACUGACGCUGAGGUGCGAAAGCGUGGGUAGCAAACAGGAUUAGAUACCCUGGUAGUCCACGCCCUAAACGAUGUCAACUAGCCGUUAGGUUCAUUUAAGAGCUAGUGUGCNGCUACGACGAUAAGUUAGUACCGCCGUCGGGAGGUACGGCCGGCCGAACGGUUAAAACGUUAACGUAAAGAAGUAGUAGACGCGNGAGAGACGACGACGACGACGACGGAGGGAGGAGG